GGAAGGAUCAUUACAGAAUUGUCAACGGGUUGUUGCUGGUCCUCGAACGGGGACAUGUGCACGCUCUGUUUACACAUCCACUCACACCUGUGCACCCUCCGUAGUUCUGUGGUCUGGGGGACCCCUGUCCUCCUGCCGUGGUUCUAUGUCUUUACACACACACUGUAAUAAAGUAUUAUGGAAUGCAUGCCGCGUCUAACGCAAUACAAUACAACUUUCAGCAACGGAUCUCUUGGCUCUCGCAUCGAUGAAGAACGCAGCGAAAUGCGAUAAGUAAUGUGAAUUGCAGAAUUCAGUGAAUCAUCGAAUCUUUGAACGCACCUUGCGCCCCUUGGCUAUUCCGAGGGGCAUGCCUGUUUGAGUAUCAUGAACACCUCAACUCUCACGGUUCGCCGUGAUGAGCUUGGACUCUGGGGGUUUUGCUGGCCUGCGGUCGGCUCCCCUCAAAUGAAUCAGCCUCCCAGUGUUUGGUGGCAUCACGGGUGUGAUAAAUAUCUACGCUCGCAGUUGUCCGCCAGGUAACCUUUGGUGACAAAGGUUCGCUGGAGCUCACAGAUGUCUCUCCUCAGCGAGGACAGCUUUUUGAACGUUCGAUCUCAAAUCAGGUAGGACUACCCGCUGAACUUAAGCAUAUCAAU
rnacentral:sRNA from 1 species